CUCGUAGGCGGCUGGUCGCGUCUGUCGUGAAAACUUCCGGCUCAACCGGGGGCUUGCGGUGGGUACGGGCGGGCUUGAGUGCGGUAGGGGAGACUGGAAUUCCCGGUGUAACGGUGGAAUGUGUAGAUAUCGGGAAGAACACCAAUGGCGAAGGCAGGUCUCUGGGCCGUUACUGACGCUGAGGAGCGAAAGCGUGGGGAGCAAACA
rnacentral:rRNA from 1 species